ensembl:lncRNA
CACACACCAUGGUAAAGUAAUGUGCAGUGUCUUUAUCUUCCAUCUGAACCGGAUUGAAAAAGACAAAAAUGGCAUAAAAGGAAAGUUGAAUCAUCCAGUGGUUCUUUGCAGAGCACUGGAUCUUUCCGGUCUCCUGCCUGCCACACAGGAGGCAUUCCGGUACAAGCUGGUCAUUUUCUAAGUGAAAUACUUCUGGUGGGGGCAGGCGUCACUCGAGACGGCUGGCACACCUACAAUAACGAAAUUGUGAAAACAAUCUGCAUCCAUCCUCUUCUACGAACGCCAGGUGGAUCCGGCCCUUCCCAACAAGGGAUGACAUGUUUCAAGCUAACAUUCAUGAAUGGUUUCUUCUCCACAUAAUGGACACACCAUAUAAGGUUUUAUGAGUUUGUAGACGGGUUAAGGACUACAAAUAUGGCCACUUUGCCAUUUCCGCUAAGGCAAUGACAGACCAAAGGUUUACCUGGGUAAAUUAGAACAUUAAGGCGUGGCUUAUUUACAAGUCCGACCACUUCCAAUAUAAAUUUUUCUUACCUGUGUUCGAGAGAUGCUUCAUGAACCACCUCCAGAACAUAAGCU